rnacentral:rRNA from 1 species
GCGGCARCAGCUCAAAUUUGAAAUCUGGCCUCGGCCCGAGUUGUAAUUUGCAGAGGAUGCUUCUGGCGCGGUGCCUUCCGAGUUCCCUGGAACGGGACGCCACAGAGGGUGAGAGCCCCGUAUGGUCGGACACCAAGCCUGUGUGAAGCUCCUUCGACGAGUCGAGUAGUUUGGGAAUGCUGCUCUAAAUGGGAGGUAAAUCUCUUCUAAAGCUAAAUACCGGCCAGAGACCGAUAGCGCACAAGUAGAGUGAUCGAAAGAUGAAAAGCACCUUGAAAAGGGGGUUAAAUAGUACGUGAAAUUGUUGAAAGGGAAGCACUUAUGACCAGACUUGGGCCGGGCGGCUCAUCAGGGGUUCUCCCCUGUGCACUCCGCCCGGCACAGGCCAGCAUCGGUUCUCGUGGGGGGAUAAGACCGUCAGGAACGUAGCACCCUCCGGGGUGUGUUAUAGCCUGGCGGACGAUACCCCCGUGGGGACCGAGGUCCGCGCUCCGCAAGGAUGCUGGCGUAAUGGUCAUCAGUGACCCGUCUUGAAACACGGACCAAGGAGUCGUCCAUUAGAGCGAGCGUUUGGGUGUAAAACCCGCACGCGUAAUGAAAGUGAACGCAGGUGAGAGCUUCGGCGCAUCAUCGACCGAUCCUGAUGUUCUCGGAAGGAUUUGAGUAAGAGUUUUAACGGACGGACCCGAAAGACAGUGAACUAUGCUUGUAUAGGGUGAAGCCAGAGGAAACUCUGGUGGAGGCUCGCAGCGGUUCUGACGUGCAAAUCGAUCGUCAAAUAUGAGCAUGGGGGCGAAAGACUAAUCGAACUGUCUAGUAGCUGGUUACCGCCGAAG